CUGAAAUUAAAUUAAAAAUCAUUUUAUUUGUUUUACAGAAAUAAAGAAAAACCUCCAAACCCUUUUUCUCAUUAGUCUCUGUCUACGCUUAUUAACUGGGCCGCUGUUCCUUCUAUUCGUCGUCGCUCUACUCAUGUUCGCUACCACCGACGUCAUCAUCGUAGGUUAUUGUCUCCUUCUCGCCUUCCUCUCUUCCCCGCUCCCUGUUACGCUCACGGCAGUAACAACAAACAAGUCAAUCUACAGGUUUGUGAGUAAGCAUGCAUGGGGAUAGAUUUUGAAGUGCCUUUUUCGAACAUUACAUUGGUUUCGGAUUUUUUUAUGUAUUACAACUACUUAAUUGAUCUAUUCCUUGUGUUGGAGUUUGAAUUUAAUAAGGGGCCAAUCCAGGUCUCCGCAUUGUAUUUUGGACUAUCUGUUUUAAGACUUCCGCUGUUUGUUUUCGAAGUUAGACUAUAAAGGUUAACCGGUUUUCAAUUAAUUAUUUCAUCUGCCU